rnacentral:misc_RNA from 1 species
GAUGAAGAACGUAGCGAAAUGCGUUAAGUAAUGUGAAUUGCAGAAUUCAGUGAAUCAUCGAAUCUUUGAACGCACAUUGCGCCCCUUGGUAUUCCGGGGGGCAUGCCUGUUCGAGCGUCAUUAUAACCCCUCAAGCUCAGCUUGGUGUUGGGGCCUGCCAACUGGCAGCCCUUAAAAUCAGUGGCGGCGCCAUCUGGCUCUAAGCGUAGUAAUUUCUCUCGCUAUAGGGUCCCGGUGGAUGCUGGCCAGCAACCCCCAAUUUUCUAUGGUUGACCUCGGAUCAGGUAGGGAUACCCGCUGAACUUAAGCAUAUCAAUAAGCGGAGGA